rnacentral:misc_RNA from 1 species
UGGUAGACGAUCGGCUGGAUCUUCGGAUCUCCCCGAUAUGAACCUUCCCGUGCUUUUUAGAACAUAGAUGGCACCAGUCAGGUGACCAUUGAAACGUAAUACGCCGCGAUGACUUCGGUCACGACGGUAUGGCGAGCUUUCGCCGUCCACGUUUCUCUUUCUUCAAGAAGACAAAAAACCGCGUCGAUCCAGUUUAGGCUGGGCCGGUUCCCCGAAUGGGCCCGUAGCUCAGUUGGUUAGAGCACACGCUUGAUAAGCGUGGGGUCGGAAGUUCAAGUCUUCCCGGGCCCACCAUUCGCAUAUGCGAAUGAGGGUUAGGGAUGAUGGAAUGUGGCUGAUGCGGAACGUUGCCGAACCUGGUUUAUACCGGGUGAUCGAGCUGGAGGGGCUGUAGCUCAGCUGGGAGAGCACCUGCUUUGCAAGCAGGGGGUCAGCGGUUCGAUCCCGCUCAGCUCCACCAAAUCGAUUGGUGUUGAAGCUGACGGCAUUUGUCUUUUGAAGAAAUAAAAGUUUUGCAUCGGCUUAUGGCUGAUGCGUGUUCUGCAUACAUUGUGAAGAGAAGAUUGAUCUGGAGGCUUCCAGGUGUUUUGGGUUCUGCCCAAGGCGUCCGAGCCCAGUUCCUGUGAACCCAUGGAUGGCCUAGCCGGCCGGAUGUGGUGGAGGGAUUGGAGGUAGGAAGGAAGCUUGUCGCUCUGAGCCGUUGUUGUUUGUGGUCUUUCGGGACUGCAUCUGACGGACGGCUUGAUUACCGUUGCCUGACCGCGCGGUAUCGGAUCAUAUCUCGAGAAGCUGGUCUUAAGACAGGCUGCAAGCGAGCUGCUCGGCGUAGCUCCAAUAAAGCAGACCUGUCGAACACGUUAAUGGCAUUGUUAGAAAGCGUGAUUGUAAAAGGUAAUCACGCAUGUUUGGCCCGACCGCACGGCAAUCGCAAGGUUGUCCGGAUGGUCGGAUUUGGCACCCCGCGAGGCGAAAGCGAGCGGACAAGGUCUGCCAAAUCAAACAAAGACGAUGAGCAUUGGCAAUGAGAACGAUUAAGUGUCGUAAGGGCAUUUGGUGGAUGCCUUGGCAUGCACAGGCGAUGAAGGACGUGAUACGCUGCGAAAAGCCGUGGGGAGC